rnacentral:rRNA from 1 species
GACGAACGCUGGCGGCGUGCUUAACACAUGCAAGUCGAACGGAAAGGCGCUGCUCUUGUGGCUUUCUCGAUUGGCGAACAGGUGAGUAACACGUGAGUAACCCGCCCCUAACUGUGGGAUAACUUCACGGAAAUCGGGCUAAUACCGCAUAGGAUCUCCUGCUGCACGUGGGUGGAUGGUAAGUUUCGGCGGUUCGGGAUGGAUUCGCGGGUUAUCAGCUUGUUGGUGUGGUAGUGGCUUACCAAGGCUUUGAAGGGUAGCCGGCCUGAGAGGGUGACCGGCCACAUUGGGACUGAGAUACGGCCCAGAAGCCUACGGGAGGCAGUAGUGGGGAAUAUUGCGGAAUGGGCCGAAGUCUGAUGCAGCAACGCCGGGUGCGGGAUGACCGCUUUCGGGUUGUAAACCGCUUUCUCAGGUGACGAAGAGUGAGUGACGGUAAUGGGUAAAGAAGCACCGGCUAACUACGUG